AGGUAUUCAGGCUAGGAACACAGGUCUUUUCAGUAAAUCAUUAGUAAUGCUGUUUGCUAUGAUUUUUUUUUUCUGGUCAGUGAGGUGCAAUUCAUCUGGCUUUUGGGUACAAUCUAUCUUUAAUUUAGUUUAGAUUAUUUUUGCUUUUUUAAAUGUUUCUUUUCUGUCUUUAAUUUAAAUACUAAUUCUUCACCCCAAAAGAAUAAUAGAAAACAUUUACUCUAUCUUUUUUCCUUUUUCUUUAAAGGAAAAUUGCUUAAUGCAAUUGUCUCAAACUCUGAUGAGAACACAGAAUCAUUAAAAUCUGCUCCCAAAUAGUCCAGGGUAUUUUUUGUAAGAUCAGUACAUAAUUUCUGGAGAAGAGUUACAAUUAAUUGCAUUUUCCUAAUAAGUUAAAAGAGAACAUUAUCUAAGCCAGUAUAUAUUUGAUGCUAAACUUCAGAUUUAAUAUCCCAUUUUAUGCUGUAAAAUUCUUGACUAGAGCAUUUAGCUAUCUAAAUCGUGCUUGGAUUUCUAAAUUAGUUAACAAUUUCAAUCUUUUUGUUACAGCAACCACAUCCUUCAGUGUCUGCUUUCUAUAUUUUGAUUAUGCAGCUCUAAUCAAACUCGGCAUGAUUGUUGCGGGUUUUUAAAUAUAAGAUCUAAUGGUUUUUUACGUUCCUUUUUGCUACAAACAUGGUACCAGGUUCAUUGUCUCAAAUAUAUGCAUUGCUGUUCUACCAUGUCAAUCUUAAUUCUAUAUCUUCAUAUCUGGGAUCAGCCUACUGGCAUAUCUACUGGGCUAACACUGAAUCUUUUGGUGCAUUCUGAAACCCUCUGGCAAAGCCUGCAUUUAAAAAAAAAUUCCUAAUUUUGCUGUAUAUUUUUGAACUUUUGUUGCUAGAGAGAAUCAGAAGCCAAACCCUGGGUCAGAGCAUGCCAGACUCUGUGCAUGUUUGGAUAGUGGUGGCUAUGUUCUCCUUAUCUUAUCUAAUUUCAUUGGUCAAGUCUUUCUCUACCUUAUACUCUGCAUGGUGCUGUUUUGGCAGUGCUAUUUUUUUGUGGAGGUUUUUUUUUGUUUUUGUUUUUUUGGUCUGCAAUAUACUUCAGCUCCACUGAAUGACUAAUAUAUUAAUGUAUGUAUCAGAUGUCAUCCUGUAUAUGCAACAUCACUCAUGGUGCUGAAUGGACACCCACCUUCAGUGUCCUGUAGAAAAAGUGCCAAAUCUUGGCCGUAGUUGAUAUGGUGGUAAAGGGCAUGUAAGUUCCAUGUGUAUCAACUCAGCAAUGGGCUGAACAAUUCUGAGGAUGAUUGAGCCUGUUUUGCAAGCGGAAAGAAGGAGACCACCCCCAGCCUGCAGGGCAGUGCAAAGUCCUACCAGCCUGCAGAGAAACUGCCUUUCAACAUGGCAGAAGGUUUUGUAAGAAUCUGUACUUAUGCCUGCAUCCUGCUAGCAUGUGUCUGAAUACAGGAAAUUGAACAACUUUUAAUUCUUCUCCUAAGGGGAAAACAGGAUGGCAUACAGAAGAGUCAUUGCAAAUCUGAGCUUCCAGUUGCUGCCAGUAAGUACUUUUUCUGCUGUAACAGAGCUACUUUGGAACUGUUUCAAAGAACAGACCUUCAUCUCUGCUGUUCCCAGUUGACGCUGGGCAUCUUCAGCAGCGACCAGAUCCACGGAAAGCUACGUGGCAUCUGAACAAAUUAAAUGUACUCACAAUAGAUGAAAAAUGGAUGUAUAAACUAGAUUUGCUGAAUAUCUUAAACAUUACAACUUCCUGAAGCUCCCACAUAUAUCUUGGAUCGAUUGUGCGAUGAAGAACACUGGACUAGACCUCUAUACUAAUACAUCCUCAAAACCCCAUUUGACAGUUUCUGUACAUCACUGGAAUGUCAGUACUCUGAUACAUUAGUGUGGUAUAUCAUGACAAUGAGGCACUCUCAGCCAGUGCCACUUAAAAGAUGAUCCCGUUCAGCAAGGAUACCCAAAGUGAAAAACUGAAACAUUUCUGCAGUCGGAAUGUUUUGGUGUUUCCAAAAUGAAAUAUGUUUCCUGGGAACUCUGGCUGUGCAGCUGCCUGUCAGGUUAGCUGCUGAGAAGCCAGAAGCUUGAGAACUGGUGUGCUGCAGCGACCUGCCAAGCAAACUGCUGAGGAGCUCAGAAGUUAGGAACUCAGAAGCCCUGGGAGCCCUGGAGUUUGGGAAAAGGCAGGUGAGCUGGCAGGAAACAUGAGUGGAUUCCACUGGAAGUUUUGUCAAAAUUGACAAGUUCCCAUGGAUCAUUUUCAUUUGACAAAUAGGCAUUUUCCAACAGAAAAAUGUUCCCUUGGACAAUUUCCCACUAGCUUUACAUAAGUAUAAUAAGAUCCACUUCUUCAAUCAAAUUCCAAAGUACUAAAGUUGUGAGAACUAUUUCCAGCAAAUACUCUGUUCAACCAACCUAACCCCUUUUACUGUUUGCCACUAUCCAUUCACUUUUUUUCUAGAUUUGCUUGCUAGUGAAAA